GCUCUUAUGAAGUUAGCGGCGGACGGGUGAGUAACACGUGGGUAACCUGCCCAUAAGACUGGGAUAACUCCGGGAAACCGGGGCUAAUACCGGAUAACAUUUUGAACUGCAUGGUUCGAAAUUGAAAGGCGGCUUCGGCUGUCACUUAUGGAUGGACCCGCGUCGCAUUAGCUAGUUGGUGAGGUAACGGCUCACCAAGGCAACGAUGCGUAGCCGACCUGAGAGGGUGAUCGGCCACACUGGGACUGAGACACGGCCCAGACUCCUACGGGAGGCAGCAGUAGGGAAUCUUCCGCAAUGGACGAAAGUCUGACGGAGCAACGCCGCGUGAGUGAUGAAGGCUUUCGGGUCGUAAAACUCUGUUGUUAGGGAAGAACAAGUGCUAGUUGAAUAAGCUGGCACCUUGACGGUACCUAACCAGAAAGCCACGGCUAACUACGUGCCAGCAGCCGCGGUAAUACGUAGGUGGCAAGCGUUAUCCGGAAUUAUUGGGCGUAAAGCGCGCGCAGGUGGUUUCUU
rnacentral:rRNA from 3 species